AGGAGGAGGAGGAGGAGGAAGAGGAGGAGGAGGAGGAUUUAGAUAGAUAAUUGAUGUUUGUUCUGGAGGAGGAGAAGGAUGAGAACGAGAAGAUGCUCAGGAUAAGGAUAAGGAUUUGUGUAAAUAUAUGUUGGAGGAAGAGGAGGAGGAGAAUAGAGACGAGGAAAGAGUAGAGAAUAAACAGAAGAAAAAGGAGAAUGGGGGAGGAAGAGAAAAAAUAGCUAGAACUAAGAUGAUAUAUGUUACUUGAUGGAAAAGAAGGAGGAGGAGGAAGAGAAGUAGAAGAUAAAGACGAUUGAAGAUGAGGAGGAGAAGGAGGAGGAGGAGGAGGAGGAAUAAGAACAAGAAGAACAAGAAGAGCAUUUAAGAUCACAAGAACAACAACAACAACAAACAAACAAACAAACAAAAUUAACUAGACAGUGAAUGAAGACGAAGAUGAAGAGGAAGAGGAGACGGAGAAUGAUUCGAGUAGAGAGAGAGAGAGAGAGAGAGAGAGAGAGAGAGAGAGAGAGAGAGAGAGAGAGAGAGAGAGAGAGAGAGAGAGAGAGAGAGAGAGAGAGAGAGAGAGAGCUAAUGUAAUUUCCAGAGACCAAUAAGGAAGACUGAAAGACCCAACCUGACUAUUUUCAAUUACCCAGCAGACUUGACUUCGUGGAGUGAACUUUGAGUUGGCGCCGCGGCCUUUGAGAGAGGCAGAGGCGCAGUCCCUCGGCUCCUGACGGCGGGCACGGGGACGCAGGGACAGGAAAGGGAAAUGGAUUGGAAGGCAGAUGGGAAAGACAGACAGCCAUAAAGAGGAUGAGGAGAUAGAUAGGUAGACGAAUGGAACAAAAGGUUGACAGGUAGACGGACUGGGAGAUGGAUGGGAUGGUGAAUGGGUAGAAAGGCUGACGAAUGGAAUGAGUGAUAGAUAGAUGGAUAAGAUAGACAGAUUGAAAGAAAGAAAAGAAUGAAGGUUGGACAAGAAGUAGACAAGGUAGAAAGAGCGAUAAAUAAGUAAAUGAAGGGGAUAGCAGAAAAAUAUAAAGGCAGAAAGAAUAAUAAGAAUAAUAGCAAAAGAGGAUAGAUAAAAAAAAGUUAAUAUAUCGAAAGGAAUGGCAAAAAAGAAAGCCAGAUUUUAAAUAAAAGAAAAACAAUUACGAAGAAAGGUAGAAAAGUAGAUGAGUACGAAGCCAGACAAGUAAAAAACGGAUGGGAAGCUAGAGACAAGAAUAAUUACAAGUGGACAAAAAGCGGAGCAAACACCAAAGAUUUAUACGUUAUUGAGGAGAGGUGGAAAAAGUGAGCCAAAAAAAAAAAUCUAAUUGGAAAGGUGAGAACAAUUGCUGUGUGUGUGUGUGUGUGUGUGAGAGAGAGAGAGAGAGAGAGAGAGAGAGAGAGAGAGAGAGAGAGAGAGAGAGAGAGAGAGAGAGAGAGAGAUGGUUAGACAAACAAACAGACAAAACAAGCCACCGUCAGCACCAGUAUUCUUCGUAGAUUAAGACACACAAGUUCACCAAAGCAGCGCCACCACUCACCCUGAUGAGAGAGAGAGAGAGAGAGAGAGAGAGAGAGAGAGAGAGAGAGAGAGAGAGAGAGAGAGAGAGAGAGAGAGAGAUUCCACCUCCGCUCCUUCCUCCCGAAUUCAAGUCUCUGCCUGGCCUUUGGAAGCUAACUUUCUUAGAGUCAAAUUUCCAACCUUGAGUCAGGACCGUGAACAUCAAAACACUAAGAGAGAGAGAGAGAGAGAGAGAGAGAGAGAGAGAGAGAGAGAGAGAGAGAGAGAGAAAACUGAGGCAGAAAGAAAAAGUGAAAAAAAAUGUUGCUUUUAGAAAGCUUUCAUUUAAUUUGUGCUUUCUUAAUUAUUGCAGUAUAUUGCAACACUAUAUUUAACAUAUUUUGCAUGUUGUUUGUACUAAUUAUACUUCAAAAUAUAGCAUGAUAUGAAUGAGCUUAACAUACCGUACUCAUUGUUAUUUUUCCGUAUGAAGGAAAACCUGAGGACAUUUCAUUCAUGAAAUAAGUAUUAUUCAGUAAGCAUUUCCUUAUUGAAGGUAGUAAAAAUGAAACAAUAACAUUAUCUUAAGGUGGGUUAAGAGAAAAUUUAGAAAUACCAUGAAUGCUCAAGUUACCCAUCAACACCCACCUACCUCUGUGUGUGUGUGUGUGUGUGUGUCUGUGUGUCACACUUUGUGUUAAGGGCCAUCCUAUUGUGCGUUGUUUCUCAGGUUGCAGAGUAAUUUAGUGUAUACCACGCUAUACAGAAGUGUAUUUAAAUGAUAGUUUUAGGAAAUAAGGCUGAACUACUCAUUGCCUUAGAGAGAGAGAGGUCAGGUGAGGGUCUGAACGAGGUGUCGGAAGUAUGAAAUACUGUGUUAAACGCCGCUACGGCAAUGCCCUGGCAGUGAGGAUAUGGUUCCCUGAAUGAUACAAGCAGUGGUCUGAGGGGAUCUAUAAUUUGUCCUGUCAUAGAAACUAUUAUGUGGUGACGCUCAGUGAGGUGUUGCUUCUUCCUACAUCAAACAACACCUAGCAGCAUCAGAGAGACACGACUGCAUAAGUGUCCGGCGACUUGUCUCUUCCAAUUAUCCCCGGACACCUUCCCAUCGCUCACCUUCCCCCGCUCACUCACGAAGGACAACGUAACGCCCCCUGGAGUGCCGUCCAGGUCACGUUCAUCCUCGCAGUGGGCUGGUCCGGACGAUUCACCCAAACUUGGCAAGGUGGAUGAGACAGUGUGGAAACGUUCACUAACUCGGCGAAAGGAAACGAAGCGAGGUGGAUGAUGAAGUGGAUGAGGAGACGGAGGCUUGUAGGCAUAAUAAAGUGUUUCAAAUGUU